rnacentral:rRNA from 1 species
GAUGAACGCUGGCGGCGUGCUUAACACAUGCAAGUCGAACGGAAAGGCUCCUGCUUGCAGGGGUACUCGAGUGGCGAACGGGUGAGUAACACGUGGGUGAUCUGCCCUGCACUUCGGGAUAAGCCUGGGCAACUGGGUCUAAUACCGGCUAGGACGAUGGUUUGGAUGCCAUUGUGGAAAGUUUUUCGGUGUGGGAUGAGCUCGCGGCCUAUCAGCUUGUUGGUGGGGUAAUGGCCUACCAAGGCGUCGACGGGUAGCCGGCCUGGGAGGGUGUACGGCCACAUUGGGACUGAGAUACGGCCCAGACUCCUACGGGAGGCAGCGGUGGGGAGUAUUGCACAAUGGGCGCGAGCCUGAUGCGGCGACGCCGCGUGGGGGAUGACGGCCUUCGGGUUGUAAACUCCUUUCGCUAGGGACGAAGCGCAAGUGACGGUACCUGGAGAAGAAGCACCGGCUAACUACGUG